ensembl:snoRNA
ACAGUCUCUUUUAAGAAUGCCUCUAAAGUGGCUGCUGAGUUACACGGUGUCAGUAGGUGGCAGAGAGGAGAAAGGCUCUGUCUACACUCAGUGUUCUGCCCUAGGGACACGUGAAUGAUUAGUCGUCUAACAUU